GGUUUAUGAUGAUAAGUUGUAGGGCUUGUUUCUCAAAACAUUCGCAGUGGCCACCUGAGAGCUUUCGCUUUUCUCCGGGCUUGAGAGUAUGUGCUGCUUUUAUCCUUCCUUGGAUGUCUGAGACC
rfam:Gossypium raimondii Chr12_contig_662, whole genome shotgun sequence.